rnacentral:rRNA from 1 species
UACAGAGGGUGCGAGCGUUAAUCGGAAUUACUGGGCGUAAAGCGUGCGUAGACGGUUAUUUAAGUCGGGUGUGAAAGCCCCGGGCUCAACCUGGGAAUUGCAUUCGAGACUGAAUAGCUAGGGUACGGUAGAGGGAAGCGGAAUUUCCGGUGUAGCGGUGAAAUGCGUAGAUAUCGGAAGGAACAUCAGUGGCGAAAGCGGCUUCCUGGACCAGUACCGACGUCAGCACGAAAGCGUGGGGAGCAAACAGGA